rnacentral:rRNA from 1 species
GCUGUCCGCCAGUGUAAAUAACUGGUGAAGAAAGGGCCGGGCAAGACCGGUGCCAGCCGCCGCGGUAAUACCGGCGGCUCGAGUGGUGGCCACUAUUACUGGGCUUAAAGCGUCCGUAGCUGGAUUGUUAAGUCUCUUGGGAAAUCCACCGGCUCAACCGAUGGGCGUUCAGGAGAAACUGGCAAUCUAGGGACCGGGAGAGGUGAGAGGUACUCCAGGGGUAGGAGUGAAAUCCUGUAAUCCUUGGGGGACCACCUGUGGCGAAGGCGUCUCACUAGAACGGCUCCGACAGUGAGGGACGAAAGCUGGGGGAGCAAACCGGAUUAGAUACCCGGGUAGUCCCAGCUGUAAACGAUGCGCGUUAGGUGUAUCGGUGACCACGAGUCAUCGAGGUGCCGAAGGGAAACCGUGAAACGUGC